ACGUAAUAGAUACCCGGGUAGUCCACGCCCUAAACGAUGUCUACUAGUUGUUGGUGGAGUAAAAUCCAUGAGUAAACGCAGCUAAACGCGUGAAGUAGACCGCCUGGGGAGUACGGUCGCAAGAUUAAAACUCAAAGGAAUUGACGGGGGCCCGCACAAGCGGUGGAUUAUGUGGAUUAAUUCGAUGCAACGCGAAAAACCUUACCUGGCCUUGACAUGCCACUAACGAAGCAGAGAUGCAUUAGGUGCCCGUAAGGGAAAGUGGACACAGGUGCUGCAUGGCUGUCGUCAGCUCGUGUCGCGAGAUGUUGGGUUAAGUCCCGCAACGAGCGCAACCCUUGCCAUUAAUUGCCAUCAUUUAGUUGGGCACUUUAAU
rnacentral:rRNA from 1 species